rnacentral:rRNA from 1 species
AGCAGCCGCGGUAAUUCCAGCUCCAAUAGCGUAUAUUAAAGUUGUUGCAGUUAAAAAGCUCGUAGUCGAAUUUCGGGGUUAGUAGGUUGGUCAUGCCUCUGGUAUGUACUGGUCUCACUGAUUCCUCCUUCCUGAUGAACCUUAAUGCCAUUAAUUUGGUGUUUUGGGGAAUUUGGACUGUUACUUUGAAAAAAUUAGAGUGUUUAAAGCAAGCUAACGCUUGAAUACAUUAGCAUGGAAUAAUGAAAUAGGACGUUCGAUCCUAUUUUGUUGGUUUCUAGGAUUGACGUAAUGAUUAAUAGGGAUAGUUGGGGGCAUUAGUAUUCAAUUGUCAGAGGUGAAAUUCUUGGAUUUAUUGAAGACUAACUACUGCGAAAGCAUUUGCCAAGGAUGUUUUCAUUAAUCAAGAACGAAAGUUAGGGGAUCGAAGACGAUCAGAUACCGUCGUAGUCUUAACCAUAAACUAUGCCGACUAGGGAUCGGAUGAUGUUAAUUUUUAAUGUACU